UACGUAGGGUGCAAGCGUUGUCCGGAAUUAUUGGGCGUAAAGAGCUCGUAGGCGGUCUGUCGCGUCGAUCGUGAAAACUUGGGGCUUAACCCUGAGCUUGCGUUCGAUACGGGCAUGACUGGAGUUCGGCAGGGGAGACUGGAAUUCCUGGUGUAGCGGUGAAAUGCGCAGAUAUCGUAAGGAAGACCAGUGGCGAAGGCGGGUCUCUGGACAGUACCUGACGCUGAGGCACGAAGGUCAGGGGAGCAAACGGG
rnacentral:rRNA from 1 species